CGGGGUAGAUAUAGUUGAGAUCACACUUUCCCUGAGCGGAGAGCUACAGCAACUUUCCUGGCUUGUUCCUUGAGCUCUCUCCCCAAGACAUUGGCCAUGCAAAGUGGUGUUUUCAGCGUACGAAAAACCCCUCCAAGAAUGCUUCUAAAAGAAGCUGCUCUCUUCAAGGAAAAAAUCAAGAAGCAGAAAUCAUGAGACCUGGGAAACAAGAGAUCCAACAAAGGAGAAAGGAGCAGAAAAUGCUAAGAGUAAGAAGGAAUUGGAGUCCUAAAACUAAUCUGAUAAGAACAGCCAGAUGAAACUGGAGCUGAGAGAGAAUACCCCAGGAAGGAAACUAAAAAGACAAAGUCAAACAAAUGAACAAAUAAACAAAGAAAAAAACCUGA